UACGUAGGGGCUAGCGUUGUCCGGAAUCAUUGGGCGUAAAGCGCGUGUAGGCGGUCCGGUAAGUCCGCUGUGAAAGUCGGGGGCUCAACCCUCGAAUGCCGGUGGAUACUGUCGGGCUAGAGUGCGGAAGAGGCGAGUGGAAUUCCUGGUGUAGCGGUGAAAUGCGCAGAUAUCAGGAGGAACACCAAUUGCGAAGGCAGCUCGCUGGGACGUAACUGACGCUGAGACGCGAAAGCGUGGGGAGCGAACAGG
rnacentral:rRNA from 1 species